rnacentral:lncRNA from 1 species
UUGGGGUUGGAAUUUUCAGCAUUUGUGCUUGAAAGGCAGACUGAAAUUCGAAGAAAAAAAAAUGACUUACAGUGCUUCCUUAGUGAGGAUUUCUCAGGCGGUAAUGGCGAUUUGCGAUGGUGGCGGUCGAUUCUAGUGGUGGCAACUGCUCCAAUUUCUUCCAUCGAAUUUCCUUUUGCCACUCUGUUUUAGCCGAAACCCUUUCCCUUCCUUUUGUUCCCCUUUUCUCUCGUUC